rnacentral:tRNA from 1 species
GCCAGUGUAGUUUAGUGGUUUGAGUGCUGGAUUAUGACUCUGGAAACCAGAGUUCGAUUCCCAGCUCGGCCA